rnacentral:rRNA from 1 species
AUUGAACGCUGGCGGCAUGCUUUACACAUGCAAGUCGAACGGCAGCGCGGGCUUCGGCCUGGCGGCGAGUGGCGAACGGGUGAGUAAUGCAUCGGAACGUGCCCAGUAGUGGGGGAUAGCCCGGCGAAAGCCGGAUUAAUACCGCAUACGACCUGAGGGUGAAAGCGGGGGACCGAAAGGCCUCGCGCUAUUGGAGCGGCCGAUGUCGGAUUAGCUAGUUGGUGGGGUAAAGGCCUACCAAGGCGACGAUCCGUAGCUGGUCUGAGAGGACGACCAGGCACACUGGAACUGAGACACGGUCCAGAGUCCUACGGGAGGCAGCAGUGGGGAAUAGUGGACAAUGGGCGCAAGCCUGAUCCAGCCAUGCCGCGUGUGUGAAGAAGGUCUUCGGAUUGUAAAGCACUUUAAGUGGGGAGGAAGGGCAGUAAGCUAAUACCUUGCUGGUGUGACGUUACCAACAGAAUAAGCACCGGCUAACUUCGUG